CGGUUCUGAGACUAUAGCCCAUGAUUUUGAUAUUCCGCAGCUUGGGCUUGUCGCUGUUUGGAUGCUUUGUGGGCAGCAUUCCGGGCCUUGGAUACUGACUGAGGGCCACAUGCUCAUCCGCUAGAAGAGACCGAAAUAAGUCAACUCCUGGGAGCUCUGGCAGUUGGGCAAUUUGGGUAAUCCCGCCAGAUCCACCAAGGUGGGAAAAACAUCCAGAAGUUCUGUGAUCCCGUGAUAGUACCUUGCUUGGGCGAGAGGAAACUGCGGAGUUCUUAUAAUCAAUGGAACCCUGAGAGCCACCUCGAAGUUGCUGUACUUGGCCCACUCGGCGUGCUCGCCCAGGGACCAGCCAUGAUCUCCCAGCACCAACACCACCGUCUCAUCCAGAUCCAAUCCUCCAAUCAGCUUGCCAAACAGAUCAUCCACAUAGGACACCGAGGCGUAGUAGCUCUGUCGUAUCUGAGCAGCCUGGAGUGGCGAUAUCGGGCCGUAGGGAAACGAUAUAUUGGUGUGCUUGAAGUCAUCCCUGGCCCGCACAUCCGUGUAGGGAUUCCAGGCCACUGCCGGCAUAUCCGGCGGCUUCAGGCUGUCCUCCGUGUAGUUGUAAAACUGGGAGAGGUGGAAUCUUGACAGAAAUUGCCGUGGAAACCGGAAAUUAAUGUGAGGCUUGUGAAAACCCAUGGCCAGGAAAAAGGGUUCCUGCUUCCGCGUGCUCCGUGACUCCACAAAGCGCAGUGCCUCCGCCACGGACUCGAUGUCCGGCAGUGUUUUGUACGGCUGGGUUUGCAGCUCCACGGGACAGAUGAGAUUCUUGCGGAGAAUGCCCUCCUUAUCGGGACAUACGGGCGAGUUCAUAAACUGCUCGGUACGGGGACGAAAUGCUGGAGCCGACCAACUUAGGGGAUAGUCAUCCGUGUUGUUGGAGGAGAGGCCAGGAUGGAAGACCUUUCCGCAGCUAUAGGUGUAAUAUCCGUGCUCCUUGAAGUACUGCGGCAAAGUGGUGAAAUUUCCGGUGAAAGUGCGCCAGUAGCUGUAGAAAUCGUACAGAUGCAGAGUAUCCGGUCUUCGACCUGUGAGCAGCGAAUUCCGGCUGGGUGCGCACAGGGAUUGCUGCAGAUUCAUUUUAUAGUUUAUUAUUUCACAUAUCAAUGUCCACAUGCUGCCCACCUGACUGUAAGCUCUUGUAAAGAUGUGACUUCCCCUGGCAAAGUUAUCCAGAUGUGGAGUGCUAGCCAGCGGAUCGCCAUAAGCGCCAAUCACUGGACGCAGAUCAUCGAAGAUCACCAUCACCACGUUCGGUCGUCGUGGCGGAGCAGCUGCGUCCAGCAGCACUGGCAUCAUAAGCAGCGAGAACAGGAGACGAGCAGUGAUCAUGUCUACGGCAAAGGAAGCUCACAACUGUUUACUCGAAGAUGCCGACACGGCGGAUGUGGAUGCCGGCGAGUUUGUUGUGCUACCCUGUGCCCAUGAAAUCUGAUAAGGGGUUAUAUCAGCAGCGUAUACAUUUUGAUUGCAAAUUUAUUAAAAAGUAAAAUCUACAAAAAAUAUAAAAUAAUUUUAAAAAUCUAAAACACUUUCGAGAUAUGAAGAGUUUUGUUUUAGAUGUUCUGCUACACUUGAAGGGUAUAAUUGUGCCAUUUCCAUCUCCACUUGCUUGCUGUUUCGCGCGGUAAAGUCCAAAGAGCAUGGAUAAGAGAAAUCCGACGGGCGGCGCAAUUCAAAACCGCCCUCCAUUAUAUUUCAAUUGAAUUUAACGGAAGCGCGCCUUGUCGACGCUUACAGUGCACUUUUCACAAGUACAGUAAAGGUUCUAUAACCAGAUAAUCGCAUCAGCACCUACACAUAUUCAAAAAUUAAUAAUUAAACAAGUUAUAUACAAACGAAUUCAUAUCAUAUCUCUUAUGUAUGUGUAAUCCGUAAUUAUAAGCUUAUAACAUAAAAUAUAUUGAAAAAUGUUGCAUAGCUUUUAUUUAAAUACAUUUAUAUUACCUAAUUUGUUUGGAGUUUAAAACUUAUGUCACUUAAAAACCUUUUAAAAAGACAAAACACUCUUCCAAUGGAAAACAUUUCAUAACAGAUUUUUUUAAACAUUUUUUUCAUAACUAGGAUUAAUGUCUUGAUUUCGAGAUAGGCAUAUUUUACUGUACAUGACCAUUAUCCGGACUGGAAUGGAAUCGGGUGCAUUCCGCAGACUGGCAUGAAUAAUAUUUACACAUAAUAUAUAAUGAUUUCUAAGCUAACGAUUAAAAAUAACCAAAGAAUGGAAGCUUUGUGAUAUAAUCACUGUGUGCCAACAACGAAAGCCGAAAUGGGGAUCAAAAUUUGGGGUUUUUAUGGAUAAUUCCCAGGUAAUCCACUCUAGAAAACAGUUCCGCAGUUGUAGCAGCGUUUCUCGCGCAUGGCCAAGCAACAGAGGAUUCCCA